GUUUCAUCAGCACAGCAAAGCACCAGCUUCCAGAAUUAUGGACAGAAGUACAAAAAGCAGAGGAGCUUCUUUAUUGUCCUGCUGAGGCUUCAGUCCAACUCUAGACCUGGUUUCCUGUGAAUAGUGUUAAAUUUAGCAUUCAGCUCAAUUCCAUUUCCAUUCACCUUCAGACCCCAGUGAAAUAUCAAUGCCUGCCUACAGGUUCAUUUGGCAGCAUGAAACAGCAAAAUGAUCCAUU